rnacentral:rRNA from 1 species
GGAUAACCUGCCCUUGGGUCCGGCAUAACCCCGGGAAACUGGGGAUAAUACCCCAUAGACUAUGGAUGCUGGAAUGCUCCGUAGUCCAAAGAUCCGCCGCCGUAGGAUGGGUCUGCGGCCGAUUAGGUUGUUGUUGGGGUAACGGCCCAACAAGCCCGUAAUCGGUACGGGUUGUGGGAGCAAGAGCCCGGAGAUGGAUUCUGAGACACGAAUCCAGGCCCUACGGGGCGCAGCAGGCGCGAAAACUUUACAAUGCGGGAAACCGUGAUAAGGGGACACCGAGUGCCAGCAUCAUAUGCUGGCUGUCCAGGUGUGUAAAAUACACCUGUUAGCAAGGGCCGGGCAAGACCGGUGCCAGCCGCCGCGGUAACACCGGCGGCCCGAGUGGUGAUCGUGAUUAUUGGGUCUAAAGGGUCCGUAGCCGGUUUGGUCAGUCCUNCGGGAAAUCUGACGGCUCAACCGUUAGGCUUUCGGGGGAUACUGCCAGGCUUGGAACCGGGAGANGUAAGANGUGCUACAGGGGUAGGAGUGAAAUCUUGUAAUCCCUGUGGGACCACCCUGUGGCGAAGGCGUCUUACCAAAACNGGUUCNACGGUGANGGACCAAAGCUNGGGGGCACNAACCGGAUUAAAUACCCNGGUNGUCCCAACCCUAAACCAUGCUCNCUAGGUGUCAGGCAUGGCNCGACCGUGUUUUGGGGCCCCNNGGGAAACCCUNAAACCNANCCCCCUUGGGAANUCCGGCCCCANGGCUUAAAACUUAA